UGUGUACUCCCUCCGUUCCAAAAUACUUGACUUCCAUUUGUCCAAAAAUGGAUGUACCUAUAUACUAAGACAUGUCUAGAUACAUAUAUAUUUUUACAAAUAGAAGGCAUGUAUUGUGCAACGGAGGGAGUAGAAU
rfam:Triticum aestivum genome assembly, contig: Triticum_aestivum_CS42_TGACv1_scaffold_006131_1AL